GACGUAGGGCGCGAGCGUUGUCCGGAUUUAUUGGGCGUAAAGAGCUCGUAGGCGGCUUGUCGCGUCGACCGUGAAAACUUGGGGCUCAACCCCAAGCCUGCGGUCGAUACGGGCAGGCUAGAGUUCGGUAGGGGAGACUGGAAUUCCUGGUGUAGCGGUGAAAUGCGCAGAUAUCAGGAGGAACACCGGUGGCGAAGGCGGGUCUCUGGGCCGAUACUGACGCUGAGGAGCGAAAGCGUGGGGAGCGAACAGGAUUAGAAACCCUGUAGUCC
rnacentral:rRNA from 1 species